CAAGGAAAUGGGCCAUCAUCUCUGCCUUUCAGUGCAGCAUGUCCUCUGUCCUCUUGACAGUAUUUCAGGUCUAUGUUUUGGCAUCUACUGACUUCUUCUGGCUAGAAAGAAAAAUGCUGAAAAAACGAAGUGGAGACCAGAGAAGACACAGGAAAGGUAUUAACUUUACAAUGUCCUAUGAUAUUGAAGGAGGGGGCGUGUAGGAGUGAAGGACAG
rnacentral:lncRNA from 1 species